AUCAUCAACAACAUUCCUUAAAUCGAAAUCCAACGCAAAAAGGAAGAUGAAAUUAUGGAAGACUUUAGCUUUGCAUUGGCWGCUGAAGCAUAUUUUAGAUAUGGAUCUACAUUUGUUCAUCAAAUUCACCCAACUUUUUAAUAGAUGUAUUACCGCAUUGGGAUGAAAACAGGUUUCGAGAAAAUGUGCGAGUCAGCAAAACCACAUUUGAUUUUAUCAUUGAUUUGAUAAAGGAUGACGAAGUGUUCAAUGGUCCACGUUCAUGUAAACAGUUCCCUAUCCAAAUUCAAUUGGCUGUAGUAAUGUACCGACUGGGUUCAUGUGGAGAAGGAGCAACAAUUACUAAAAUUGCUAGUUUGUUUGGUAUUAGCGAUGGUGGAGUAAUACAGGUCAUGACCAACAGAGUAUUUGAUGCAAUUAUUAAAAGGAAAACUCAGUUUCUGUUUUGGCCGGACCCUGUAGAGCGUAGAGCUUUAGUUGUUCAAACACUCAGUGAACGGAGAUAAAAUUGGCGGAAAAACCCACUGUAGAUUGUGAAGCAUAUUUUUCUCGCAAGCAUAUAUAUUCACUUAAGGCUCAAURUGUGUGUGACCACAAACUAGUAAUUCGUCAUAUGGUAUUGGGGUAUCCCGGUAGUGUUCAGGACGCUAGGAUAUACAACAAUUGGGAACUGUCCACAAACGCCACUGAAAUGCUAACAGGAUCAGAGUGGUUAGCUGCAGACAGUGCAUAUAAAUUAACUUCGAGCCUUA